rnacentral:rRNA from 1 species
UACGUAGGGGGCUAGCGUUGUCCGGAAUCAUUGGGCGUAAAGCGCGUGUAGGCGGCCCGAUAAGUCCGCUGUGAAAGUCCAGGGCUCAACCCUGGGAUGCCGGUGGAUACUGUCGGGCUCGAGUCCGGAAGAGGCGAGUGGAAUUCCUGGUGUAGCGGUGAAAUGCGCAGAUAUUAGGAGGAACACCGGUGGCGAAGGCGCCACUCUGGGCCGAAACUGACGCUGAGGAGCGAAAGCGUGGGUAGCAAACAGG